rnacentral:tRNA from 1 species
GCCUUCGUGGUGUAGUGGUCUGCAUGUUCGACGCAUAACCGAGAGGUCCAUGGUUCGAUUCCCGGCGAAGGCG